CCCUGCAUGGCUGCGGGCGGGGGUGCCGCCCCCUCCCUCCCUCCUUCCUUCGCUGCUGCCGCUGCUCCGCCGCUUGCCGGGCCCGCCGCCCCUUCCGCUUCCCACGCGCGUCCCGGGCCUCCGUGGGAGCGCCGGGGCCGCCCCGCUCGGCUCCGGGCCGGGCUGGGCACCGGGGGCCGCUCCAUCCUCCUCCUCCUCCCCCGCAUGCCGCCUGCGCCGCGGGGAGCCGGGCCGGGCGGGGGUGGGCGCUGCCCGCUGCCAGCCCCGCUGGAUCCGUCCACUGGGGCCGCGCGGGGUCGGGCCGGUGCUUCAGGCCCUUACGGAGUCGCUGGGUGCCGCAGGGAGGGAAGCGGAGCUUCACGAAAUGGGUUCCCUGCCGGGGGACUCGGGCCCUUUCUUUGGAGAGGCGUUCGGAUUCUUCCUCCCCUGGAGAAGAAAAGGGAAUUGUCUGGGCGAGGCACGGAGCUGAAGGCUGACAUUUCGCAGCGCAGCGAGCUGGCACCUCCCGCCCAGAGCUGGCUCUGAAAAGUCUCUUUUUUUAGCUUGGGAGAACGGGUCCUGGCUGAAGGUACCUGGUGUGGCAGCCCAGGCUCGCCCUGUGCAGGAGUUGAGGCUGAACCCCUCGGGAUUUAACUGCAGAAUUAAUAAUUGCUGGCCCUUUGGUGCAGAUCGGUGCAUUAAGUACCAACCUUCUGUCCCCUGGAGAAGCAAGAGGAAACUACUUCUGCUCUGCUAGGGUCUGGCUGGUGAAUGCAAAAGGCACCAUUCCAAAAGUAUUUGUGAUUUUCACUGAAAACAGCGAG